rnacentral:rRNA from 1 species
UACGAGAGGCCCAAGCGUUAUUCGGAAUUACUGGGCUUAAAGAGUCCGUAGGCGGCGCAGAAAGUAGGGUGUGAAAGCCCUCGGCUCAACCGAGGAAUUGCGCUCUAAACUACUGUGCUUGAGGAACCUAGAGGUGAGCGGAACUGAUGGUGGAGCGGUGAAAUGCGUUGAUAUCAUCAGGAACACCGGAGGCGAAGGCGGCUCACUGGGGGUUAUCUGACGCUGAGGGACGAAAGCCAGGGGAGCGAACGGG